UUAAGCGACUAAGCGUACACGGUGGAUGCCCUGGCAGUCAGAGGCGAUGAAGGACGUGCUAAUCUGCGAAAAGCGCCGGCGAGGUGAUAUGAACCCUUGACCCGGCGAUGUCCGAAUGGGGAAACCCAGUGUGAUUCGUCACACUAUCGUUAACUGAAUACAUAGGUUAACGAGGCGAACCGGGGGAACUGAAACAUCUAAGUACCCCGAGGAAAAGAAAUCAACCGAGAUUCCCCCAGUAGCGGCGAGCGAACGGGGAGCAGCCCAGAGUCUGAAUCAGCUUGUGUGUUAGUGGAAGCGUCUGGAAAGUCGCACGGUACAGGGUGACAGUCCCGUACACGAAAAUGCACAGGUUGUGAACUCGAAGAGUAGGGCGGGACACGUGGUAUCCUGUCUGAAUAUGGGGGGACCAUCCUCCAAGGCUAAAUACUCCUGACUGACCGAUAGUGAACCAGUACCGUGAGGGAAAGGCGAAAAGAACCCCGGCGAGGGGAGUGAAAAAGAACCUGAAACCGUGUACGUACAAGCAGUGGGAGCACCUUAGGGUGUGACUGCGUACCUUUUGUAUAAUGGGUCAGCGACUUAUAUUCUGUAGCAAGGUUAACCGUAUAGGGGAGCCGAAGGGAAACCGAGUCUUAACUGGGCGUUAAGUUGCAGGGUAUAGACCCGAAACCCGGUGAUCUAGCCAUGGGCAGGUUGAAGGUUGGGUAACACUAACUGGAGGACCGAACCGACUAAUGUUGAAAAAUUAGCGGAUGACUUGUGGCUGGGGGUGAAAGGCCAAUCAAACCGGGAGAUAGCUGGUUCUCCCCGAAAGCUAUUUAGGUAGCGCCUCGUGAACUCAUCUUCGGGGGUAGAGCACUGUUUCGGCUAGGGGGCCAUCCCGGCUUACCAACCCGAUGCAAACUACGAAUACCGAAGAAUGUUAUCACGGGAGACACACGGCGGGUGCUAACGUCCGUCGUGAAGAGGGAAACAACCCAGACCGCCAGCUAAGGUCCCAAAGUCAUGGUUAAGUGGGAAACGAUGUGGGAAGGCCCAGACAGCCAGGAUGUUGGCUUAGAAGCAGCCAUCAUUUAAAGAAAGCGUAAUAGCUCACUGGUCGAGUCGGCCUGCGCGGAAGAUGUAACGGGGCUAAACCAUGCACCGAAGCUGCGGCAGCGACACUAUGUGUUGUUGGGUAGGGGAGCGUUCUGUAAGCCGUUGAAGGUGGCCUGUGAGGGUUGCUGGAGGUAUCAGAAGUGCGAAUGCUGACAUAAGUAACGAUAAAGCGGGUGAAAAGCCCGCUCGCCGGAAGACCAAGGGUUCCUGUCCAACGUUAAUCGGGGCAGGGUGAGUCGACCCCUAAGGCGAGGCCGAAAGGCGUAGUCGAUGGGAAACAGGUUAAUAUUCCUGUACUUGGUGUUACUGCGAAGGGGGGACGGAGAAGGCUAUGUUAGCCGGGCGACGGUUGUCCCGGUUUAAGCAUGUAGGCGGAGGUUCCAGGUAAAUCCGGUACCUUUUUAACGCUGAGGUGUGAUGACGAGGCACUACGGUGCUGAAGUAACAAAUGCCCUGCUUCCAGGAAAAGCCUCUAAGCAUCAGGUAACACGAAAUCGUACCCCAAACCGACACAGGUGGUCAGGUAGAGAAUACCAAGGCGCUUGAGAGAACUCGGGUGAAGGAACUAGGCAAAAUGGUGCCGUAACUUCGGGAGAAGGCACGCUGAUAUGUAGGUGAAGCCCCUGCGGGUGGAGCUGAAAUCAGUCGAAGAUACCAGCUGGCUGCAACUGUUUAUUAAAAACACAGCACUGUGCAAACACGAAAGUGGACGUAUACGGUGUGACGCCUGCCCGGUGCCGGAAGGUUAAUUGAUGGGGUUAGCGGUAACGCGAAGCUCUUGAUCGAAGCCCCGGUAAACGGCGGCCGUAACUAUAACGGUCCUAAGGUAGCGAAAUUCCUUGUCGGGUAAGUUCCGACCUGCACGAAUGGCGUAAUGAUGGCCAGGCUGUCUCCACCCGAGACUCAGUGAAAUUGAACUCGCUGUGAAGAUGCAGUGUACCCGCGGCAAGACGGAAAGACCCCGUGAACCUUUACUAUAGCUUGACACUGAACACUGGUCCUUGAUGUGUAGGAUAGGUGGGAGGCUUUGAAGCGUGGACGCCAGUCUGCGUGGAGCCAACCUUGAAAUACCACCCUUUAAUGGCUGGUGUUCUAACGUAGACCCGUAAUCCGGGUUGCGGACAGUGUCUGGUGGGUAGUUUGACUGGGGCGGUCUCCUCCCAAAGAGUAACGGAGGAGCACGAAGGUUAGCUAAUCCUGGUCGGACAUCAGGAGGUUAGUGCAAUGGCAUAAGCUAGCUUGACUGCGAGAGUGACGGCUCGAGCAGGUGCGAAAGCAGGUCAUAGUGAUCCGGUGGUUCUGAAUGGAAGGGCCAUCGCUCAACGGAUAAAAGGUACUCCGGGGAUAACAGGCUGAUACCGCCCAAGAGUUCAUAUCGACGGCGGUGUUUGGCACCUCGAUGUCGGCUCAUCACAUCCUGGGGCUGAAGUAGGUCCCAAGGGUAUGGCUGUUCGCCAUUUAAAGUGGUACGCGAGCUGGGUUUAGAACGUCGUGAGACAGUUCGGUCCCUAUCUGCCGUGGGCGCUGGAGAAUUGAGGGGGGCUGCUCCUAGUACGAGAGGACCGGAGUGGACGCAUCACUGGUGUUCGGGUUGUCAUGCCAAUGGCACUGCCCGGUAGCUAAAUGCGGAAGAGAUAAGUGCUGAAAGCAUCUAAGCACGAAACUUGCCCCGAGAUGAGUUCUCCCUGAGACUUAAAGUCUCCUGAAGGAACGUUGAAGACGACGACGUUGAUAGGUCGGGUGUGUAAGCGCAGCGAUGCGUUGAGCUAACCGAUACUAAUGAACCGUGAGGCUUAACCUU
rnacentral:rRNA from 1 species